rnacentral:rRNA from 1 species
AUUGAACGCUGGCGGCAGGCCUAACACAUGCAAGUCGAGCGGAUGACAGGAGCUUGCUCCUGAAUUCAGCGGCGGACGGGUGAGUAAUGCCUAGGAAUCUGCCUGGUAGUGGGGGACAACGUUUCGAAAGGAACGCUAAUACCGCAUACGUCCUACGGGAGAAAGCAGGGGACCUUCGGGCCUUGCGCUAUCAGAUGAGCCUAGGUCGGAUUAGCUAGUUGGUGAGGUAAUGGCUCACCAAGGCGACGAUCCGUAACUGGUCUGAGAGGAUGAUCAGUCACACUGGAACUGAGACACGGUCCAGACUCCUACGGGAGGCAGCAGUGGGGAAUAUUGGACAAUGGGCGAAAGCCUGAUCCAGCCAUGCCGCGUGUGUGAAGAAGGUCUUCGGAUUGUAAAGCACUUUAAGUUGGGAGAAGGGCAUUAACCUAAUACGUUAGUGUUUUGACGUUACCGACAGAAUAAGCACCGGCUAACUCUGUGCC